UACGGGGGGAGCAAGCGUUGUUCGGAUUUACUGGGCGUAAAGGGCGCGUAGGCGGCGUGACAAGUCACUUGUGAAAUCUCCGGGCUUAACUCGGAGCGGUCAAGUGAUACUGUCGUGCUAGAGUGCGGAAGGGGCUACUGGAAUUCUCGGUGUAGCGGUGAAAUGCGCAGAUAUCGGGAGGAACACCGGUGGCGAAGGCGGUGCUCUGGGCCAGUACUGACGCUGAGGAGCGAAAGCGUGGGUAGCAAACAGG
rnacentral:rRNA from 1 species